AGAGUUUGAUCAUGGCUCAGAAUGAACGCUGGCGGCGUGCUUAACACAUGCAAGUCGUGCGCGAAGGUGGCUUCGGCUGCCGGAGAGCGGCGAACGGGUGAGUAACACGUGGGUGACCUACCUGGGAGCGGGGGAUAACCUGGGGAAACUCGGGCUAAUACCGCAUACGUUGGCGGGGCUUCGGCUCCGUCAGGAAAGCUGGCCUCUGACUUAAGCUAGCACUCCCAGAGGGGCCCGCGGCUGAUUAGCUUGUUGGUGAGGUAAUGGCUCACCAAGGCGACGAUCAGUAGCCGGCCUGAGAGGGUGAUCGGCCACACUGGAACUGAGACACGGUCCAGACUCCUACGGGAGGCAGCAGUGGGGAAUAUUGGACAAUGGGCGCAAGCCUGAUCCAGCAAUGCCGCGUGGAGGAAGAAGGCCUUCGGGUCGUAAACUCCUGUCAGGUGGAAAGAAAAGGCGCCGGUGAAUAAUCGGCGACGUGACGGUACCACCAGAGAAGCC
rnacentral:rRNA from 1 species